UCUCUUCAGUGACAGACAGGGUGGUGGCAGCGGCACCCGGCUGCAGCGGAGGGCCAGGUUUUGUCACUCGUGUAGGCCCCAAAAUACUCCCGCCGGAUAGCUGGUACAGCGGGAGAGACAUGUGCGGUGUCCUUCAUAAGUAACACGUGGCUUGUGUCCCGCCUAACGGGGUGGUAAUGAAGGCCGGAGCUAGGCCGAUUAAGAAAAGAAAAAGUAAAAAGCAGGAAGAAGGAGCCAGUUGAUGCAGCUGCCAAAACAAGGCGAGGCCAGGAGUUGGGGCCUGUGCCGCGAUGAACAUGGCAAGGUCCCUGACAGGAAAAAGGAAGCUCGUUUGGCAGAGCAGUGCUGGUGGAGGGACAAAGGUCUCAGCUCAGUCACGUCGGUUGUCAGAAGCCACAUGGGGAUCUGGACUCCUCUGAGGUGAUGUUUAAGCUUCCACUGAUCUGAUUAACCGUGGCUUUGCUUGCUUGUGGUAUAGUUUAGGAAAGUGGAGUAUAUUCUGCAGUUUCCUGCCGUACAACCCAACACGGUGGUCAGUGCUUCAGAGACAUGUGGUGAGGCAGAGCAAGGAUUCCUCCUGGGCUGGGUGUUCUCCUGCCCAUCUUCUCAGAGAACCAUUGGGUGAACAAACAGCAAGUAUCCGCUCCGUGGGCUAGGCUGGUGAGACACGAUGCAUACCGUUGGUCUGCACUGCCUGUAAGUUAAACAAAUCCAUUCUAAAGCUCAAGAAGUGUAAAAUACAUGAGCUAAUAUGCAGAUCUUGAGGUAGAAAGGUGAAAUGAAUCCUCUGGUUGGUAACCCAGAGGCUGCCACAGGACUUCACAGGACUUUAAAUAAGUGAUUUGUUCUCUGCCACUGUAUGCUUUUGCUUCUCAUGGGCUUUUUUGAGGUUUAACACUGUAAUAUACUUGUAUUAUAGUGAGAUGACUUUAUGUAUGCAGUUAAAAUGGUUUUGUUCUUAUCUGUCCUAUAGAACUGGAUUUGGGAUUGAUUGGCAUAGUAGUAAGACUUGGAGGAAUGUGAGGCACUGAGUGUACUAUGUGAAGGAUGUAGGAGAAACAAAGUGUACCAAGGCUACAAGUGCCUUGUGGUACAUACAUGAAAAAUGAGAAGGAAAACCAAGGUGAAUUAUUAGAAAGGCGAAAGGAGUACUGAGGGGACAAGGUCAUGAAAGCCCAGUGGAUAAAAUUUCAAGGUGAAUAUGACUAGUGAGCUCCAAGGGUGAAUUAAAAACAACAACCACCAAAGAAAAAAAAACAAGUGGUAAAUGAACUGGAAAAGAUGGAAACUAAAAACAAAAUUCCAGAUUAGUAAUCUCUUUGUGGUAAGGGCAGAAGGAAGUGGAUUAAAACCACCAAGUUUUAAAUUCAGAGCAUGAAGACAGAUUUUAAAUGUUGGUUUAAUGAAAGUUUUUCCUUCAGUUAUAGGUAUAUGAGGUAUGUCAAAAAUACUAGGCUUAGGCAUUACUUUAGCAUGCUUAGAAAUGAGAUUAAUUCAGCUGAUUACCUUGGACUUGCAGCAUUGUUUAACUGGGCUAAAUGAGAAGAGAGUCAAGGCUAUUUUCAAAAACUUGAGAAAUGCUAACAAUGGUAUUCUGCCAGGUAGAAACUGAAGAGUUAAAGAUUUGCUUCUUCUGCAAACACAAUGGAGAUGAAAGUCACAGACUCCAAACUCAAUCAUCCAACCAUGAAACAACUAAGAAAAAGACCAAGGCACAAAUAUGGUGCCUGGCUAAAAUCUAAUGAUAGUUAUUAAUUUACAAGCUAAUUUGUCUUCAAAAGUCUUCUGUUCUUUCCCUCUCUUUUCCAUAUGGGAUGCAAUUAAAGCUCUCAGUUGUCACAUUUGCUAAUGUGCUAAGCUACUUCAGUUGUCUUGACAUCAUACUGUUUUACAGCAUGGUCAACAGAAAUACCAAGUUCAACAAAAUCCACGUUUUGGUGUAUGAAGCAUUUUGCCUUAUUGCAGCACUAGGCCAAUGACACAAAACUUAAUGAAGGUUGUUUUACAGUGACAACACUGUAUUGAGGAGCAGUGGUGGUAAGGAAACUCAGGAAUACAAUGAGUAUUUAUAAUACAAUAGUGUCUGCACCAUGCUAGAAAUGUUUUCCAAGCAUAUGAGACUCUAUUCAUUGCCAAAGAGCUUGUUCCUUAAAAGACAGUGUAAGGACAAAGCACAACAAAAAGCAACAUAUGGUAUACCAAGUGAAAUGAUCAAUAUGUUGGUUGCCAGAACAGAGGAGGGACUUCCUUCUCUUUCUUUUCAGCUAGUUACUCUUGGUCCCUAAAGUAGCCUUUCUAAGAUAGCUAAUUGCUUGUCUGUGUCAUUGAAUGUUGGAAAAGACCUUUCCUGGUGACUAGGUAAUGAUGAGACAUACUGCUUUGCAGAGAAUGUAGUGAAAAGUCUUUGAAAUUAAAUACUAGUCAUGAUGAAGAUGUUGUGGGAUAAACUUAGUGCAAGGUCAUAGGUUUUUAUCACCAGUUAGAUAUGGAUCUGAUAUGUUUAUUAGAAAGGGGAAAAAAAAGGUUGGUCAAUGAAUAACUUUUCUGGUUUUAUUAAGUAGUAAUAAUAGCUGCAUUUAUACCAUGCUUUCAAUGGCUUGUGUACUGCAGUGCUGAGAUUAUAUAAGCAACCAAAAAAGACUCUUUGAAGCUGGGGGAAGAAGAAAGGGAAUGCAGAGUAACAAGAUUGUAGAAGGUUACAAAGUCCGUUUAGAAGUAAAGUUUAAAUAAAAAGUAAGUAAUCUCAUGUUGAGAUAGUUUUACUGUGAAUGGGAAAAGUGCUUGAACUCCAGGCUAAGGUUUUCAUUGCUGCCAGAAGGCUUCUUGGAAGCUAGAUGUGCUGCUGAUAGCAUCAGGCAUCAGUGACACAGGUGCAUGUCCACAACAGCAUCAUAAUUAAAAGUCAGAACUUGGGGGCUUGUAGCAUUUGCUCUCCUCCACCCAGACCACUCCACCAUGUUCUUCAGCUUGACUGCUACUAUUCUGCUUAGACCAUUCUUCAAUGGUCUCAACAGUGCCAUUUUUCAAGCUUGCUUUUCAUACUGGAAAGUGAACUGUAACAGGUUUGCAGAUUUUCCAAGUUAAAGGAGAGAACUGUUUGUCUGAGUUGGAUUCUCUGUUAAACUCACUUCCUUUCUAAUCAGGACAAAGUGUACAGAGUACAUCCACAAGGCUAUGCAAGUGCUCUUUUAUUGAAUGCACGCUUUUUUCCUGAGGUACUCAAAGGGUUAGCAUCGUUUAUUUAUCUCGCAGCUACUCCCCUGGCCCCUGUUUCUGCAAAGCAAGGAAAGGGUCACCUAGUAGAGGUGAUCUGGAAGGUGUGGGGUUAUUGCCUGUUGGGACUAGUGCCAGCCAUUACAGAGAAGCACAUGACCAAACACAGGGUCCCCUCAAAUCACUUGGGCUCCAUAACUGAAGGAGUCUCAGAACUUUUCAAGAUCCAGGUUUUGAUAUGCCAAGAACUUGGUGUUUUCCACAGUAUGACGUGGCAAAGGGCGCUUGGGACAACAGAGAAUUUGGCUUAGAGCCCUGAAAAUAAUCUGCAGUACCCUGUGCCAUCUCUCAUUCUGCUUAGUGCUUGUUGAUGCCAUUGUAGAGUUUCCCUAAAAGUUUUUGCUGAAAUUAAAGUAAUAGAAUAAGUUGGUUGUUUGUCACUGAAUAUCAUAAUGGUCUAAUGUUUAAAAAAAAACCCCUUUCAUUAUAAUCUGAGUUUAUAAAUGUUGGACUAAAUUAUAAGGAGUAUUCUCAAUUACUCUAUGUAAACUUGUGUUUAAUACUGUCUAAUAUUAUGAGAUUCCUCCAGACUGCUUAACUAAAAUUGCUUUUGCUGUCCUUGAAUCUAUCUGAAACUAUAUGCAUUUUCAUAUCUGGGAAUAUAGCCUAUUUUUAUUACACCAAAAAUACAGUUAGGGUUGAUCUGGAGAGAUUUAUACAUAUUAAAAUUUUUGUCUACUGUAAUAAUUUUAUUCAUGUUUAAGGAAAAUUAAUUAUGCUAGUGAAAUACAGAACAAUGGGGUCUUUUUCUUUCUAGCUGAAAAUUCUGCUUCCAGAUGUCUGUAUCUGUAAAGUUAUGGAAAUGCAGCACAGCUUAGAAAAUGCUCAAGACCAACUCAUUCCAGUUUUGUCCUCAUUUUAAACUUUGUACCAUGGAAAGUUCAAAAGUUUUUUUCACAUUGUUUGUGAGAUUUCUCCAGAGGGAGUAUUCCUGGCUCUGGUUAGAAAAGAACUCCCUGUCUUGCUAAAGACUGACAAUUAUGUACAUUUUUGGCCUCUAACUUAAGCAAGCCAGCAGGCCCUCAGGGUGCUUGAAGUCCAGUUAUGAACAGAAAAUUACUUUUAAAGAACAUUUUUAAAACCCAUUUGAAAUUCAUGCACUGAUACAGCAAUAAGCAGUUUUGGGGGCAAAAAAUGAGAGAUUCCUGUUUAAUCUGCAUGUAGGUCAAAUUUAUCUGAACUGCUCCAGAACCUUUUCUUGAUUUUGGUGCAGACAAGUCUUCCAGAGUGAGAACAGAGGACUCCAACAUAAAGAAAGCCCGGUGCUUCAUUGCACCACAAUCACAAAAGGACCUGUUCAUUCUGCAUCUGAUAUGUGCUUCCUGCCCCUCUGUCAUCAUGAUUCAGCAUGGUGACAUGCUGAAAGAUCAUUAAGGUGGAAACAAUGCCGAGCAGUGUUAGGAUGAUGUGACCUGCCACCAUUAUUUUGUGUGUACCUGAUUUAUUGCACAUCAUAUUUUCUCUUUCCUUGUCUUUCGUCUGCCAGGCACGUAGUUCUUUCUUCUGCCAGUGCCUGGUCUUGUACUUGGAGAAGAGAACAGGGAUGCCCUGGGGUGUAGGCAAGGACAGUUUGCCCUCUGCCCCUUGGUUUGGGAAGCUUGAGAAUACCGCAGCUCAUGCCUCGCAAUAUAUUGUGCUAUUUAAUGAGUUACAAAGUCUCCACCUUUUUUUUUUUUUUUUUUUCGGAUUACCUAGGAAUAAUUACUCAGAGCUCAAGAGAGGAACUCAAGAACUGUGUUCCUUGAAAUUGCGAAGACAAAUUUGUUAAAAACCUGGACAUUUUAUCUUUGGGUGGAGAUUCAGUUUGCUUUCCCUUUCUCCAGAUGGCUAGCACAAUUUCUGAUACUCCUAAACUCUUUUUCUUAUGGAGAUGGUUGUACAAGUAGGGGAGAUUCCAAGAAAGCAGUGAGCUUAAAACAUUUGCUGCUAUGAGACCUGUCUCAGUAAUUUAAGAGGGGAAGGAAAAGAUAAUAGUGAGUCAAGUUUUGAGCUGAUAAGACUGACUAAGUGGUAUUCCUCAAAAACACUCAGUGGUUUGAUUUUUGUUCUUUUUUUGAUGCGGCAGUUUCUUGAGAAGAAUGAGGACAGGCUUCAUUUUUGUUUGUUUUUUUGAGUGAACAAUGGUGUCCUCCCUCUUUUCUUGAACAAUGGGGACACAAUAUUAUAGCUCGUGUUUUGUUAAAACUAUCAAAGUAGCAGAUCUGUCCCAAAGAGCUCACCUUUGUCAGGGCUGGCUACAGACACACACACAGACACUGUGAGCCUGUACCCCAGAGAGCCUCUGCAAUCCAGGUGGACUCAGUACCAUGUUUUCUGUCACUACCCAUUCUUCCUUCUGCCAGGACAGUACCUGUGUUCCCAUGCCCUCCUCUGAUGCAUAACGCUAUCCAAUGUCCUGUUGCUCUCCUGCCAUUGCACCCUUCACUGUCUACCCCAUCCCAAAGGCUUUGUGAUGUUUAUUCUUGCAUUUCCGUUCUUCCCAAAGACACAGGAUUUUACUCCAUGCUCUUCUGUUUGCUUUCAGUGCUGUUCUCGUGCCCUUCAACGCUCUCUUCAGUUGUGGUUCAUUUAAGACACAGUGUUGAGUUGCUGCCACCAGAAGGGGUGGUUCUGCUCCCUCCAGAGCUGUUCUCCUUGGCAUCACUCUUGUCAGGCCCUUUGUGAGCAAAAUCAUCCUCACAUAUCCUAGCCUGCUGCAAUGAAUCGUCUACUGCAAUCUCAAAGGCCACAAUGGAAAGAGUUUCUUCAUGUAAACAAGCCUGUUCUACACAAGAGAAGUAGUCACUCCAAUGUUGGUGUAAUCCCUCUGAGCAGCUUCUCAAGACACCCUAAGGCUGUACUCUUGAAGUCGUGCACCCAUAGCUGAGAUGUGUACAGUGGUUUUAAGAAUAUUUUGUUAAUGUUUUGCUAAGUAUAGAAAUACAUUGUUCAUAUAUUG